GAUGAACGCUGGCGGCGUGCUUAACACAUGCAAGUCGAACGGAGUGGCGAACGGGUGAGUAACACGUAGGUGAUCUGCCUUUCACUCCGGGAUAAGCUUGGGAAACUGGGUCUAAUACAGGUUAGUGGGAGAUGAUCUUGCGGCCUAUCAGCUUGUUGGUGGGGUAAUGGCCUACCACGGCGGCGACGGGUAGCCGGCAUGGGAGGGUGGGCGGGCACAUGGGGACUGGGGUACGGACCAGAAGGCAACGGGAGGCAGCAGUGGGGAGUGUUGCCGAAUGGGGGGAAGCCAGAUGAAGCGACGCCGGGUGGGGGAUGAAGGGCUUUGGGUGGAAAACACCUAUCGUCAGGGACGCGGUACCUGGAUAAGAAGCACCGGCUAACUACGUGCCAGCAGCCGCGGUAAUUC
rnacentral:rRNA from 1 species